rnacentral:tRNA from 1 species
GGUCCGGUAGCUCAGCUGGAUAGAGCAUCUGCCUUCUAAGCAGACGGUCAUGCGUUCGAGUCGCAUCCGGAUCACUA